rnacentral:rRNA from 1 species
ACAGCAGUAGCCGCGGGAAUACGAAGGGGGCUAGCGUUGCUCGGAAUUACUGGGCGUAAAGGGAGCGUAGGCGGACAUUUAAGUCAGGGGUGAAAUCCCAGAGCUCAACUCUGGAACUGCCCUUGAUACUGGGUGUCUUGAGUGUGAUAGAGGUAUGUGGAACUCCGAGUGUAGAGGUGAAAUUCGUAGAUAUUCGGAAGAACACCAGUGGCGAAGGCGACAUACUGGAUCAUUACUGACGCUGAGGCUCGAAAGCGUGGGGAGCAAACAGGAUUAGAUACCCCGGUAGUCCCUGUCUCUUAUAC